rnacentral:rRNA from 1 species
UCGGAUUGUAGUCUGNAACCCGACUACAUGAAGCUGGAAUCGCUAGUAAUCGCGGAUCAGAAUGCCGCGGUGAAUACGUUCCCGGGUCUUGUACACACCGCCCGUCACACCAUGGGAGUCGGAAAUGCCCGAAGUCAGUGACCCAACCGUAAGGAGGGAGCUGCCGAAGGUGGAGCCGGUAACUGGGGUGAAGUCGUAACAAGGUACC